GCCUUCGUGGUGUAGUGGUCUGCAUGCGCGACGCGUAACCGAGAGGUCCGUGGUUCGAUUCCCGGCGAAGACG
rfam:Stegodyphus mimosarum contig83442, whole genome shotgun sequence.